GUUCAGGUCAGGUCAACAGCGGCGGCGGUUCAAUUCAGAAAACACGAACUGCUCUGCUUUACUAAAAGUUGGAUCUCUGUUUAAUGGGUGGAGGGACCGCUGCUAAAAGAUGUAAAGAAGUGGUCUUAGCACUAGAAGCUUACUGUCUGAAU